GUCCCCAUAGCUCAACGGAUAGAGUAAUGGCUUGCGGAGCCAUUGAUGAGGGUUCGAUUCCUUCUGGGGACA
rnacentral:tRNA from 1 species